rnacentral:rRNA from 1 species
AUUGAACGCUGGCGGAACGCUUUACACAUGCAAGUCGAACGGCAGCACGGGGCAACCUGGUGGCGAGUGGCGAACGGGUGAGUAAUACAUCGGAACGUGCCCAAUCGUGGGGGAUAACGUAGCGAAAGUUACGCUAAUACCGCAUACGAUCUACGGAUGAAAGCGGGGGAUCGCAAGACCUCGCGCGAAUGGAGCGGCUGAUGUCAGAUUAGGUAGUUGGUGGGGUAAAGGCUCACCAAGCCAACGAUCUGUAGCUGGUCUGAGAGGACGACCAGCCACACUGGGACUGAGACACGGCCCAGACUCCUACGGGAGGCAGCAGUGGGGAAUUUUGGACAAUGGGCGCAAGCCUGAUCCAGCCAUUCCGCGUGCAGGAUGAAGGCCUUCGGGUUGUAAACUGCUUUUGUACGGAACGAAACGGUUCUCUCUAAUACGGGGGGCUAAUGACGGUACCGUAAGAAUAAGCACCGGCUAACUACGUGCCAGCCGCCGCCGUAAAAC